UCCUCUCCUUCGGCAGAUUCCCUUUAAAAGAGGAAUUCCUUGCAGAACUGCGCCGUGCGCUCUCCCCUCUUCCUUUGUGCCUUCUGCUCCACCAGCGCGGCUGCCUCGGAGGAUCUGCGUUGCUUCACGGCCACCUUCCCAAACCCCUUCCAAAUGCAGGGCCCAUGUUUCUGAAGCGGUGGGCGGGCAGUGCCGCGUAUGGAGAUGGAGACAGAGACACAAACACACAGGCACGUCUCCCACUGCCACCUGUCAUCCUGCAGCUGUUUCUGGGGUUCAGCUUGGCUGGAGCAGAGGUGAGCACCAGCACAUUCUGAAUUCAGAGAGACACAAAGCUUCCACCCGACCCAGUAUGGUCCAAGGCCUCAGAGUGCUGGCUCCACCUCUGACUUCCAUCCAUGCUGAUCGUCCUGCAGUGCUUCCCUGAGGGAGCCACGGUGGGUUCUGCCCAGGGAGGUUCAUCUGUCACGAGAUGUGAGUGAGAACACAUCUGGCCCUGGUUGCUCUAGGGGGAGGAAAAUAUGUUUUAAAGCCAAUUGAUGAAUUAAACACGACGGCAUCUUCUCAAAGAUUUUGUGAUGACUCGCACCCACCCUGUCAGUAUCACAGGCAUGUUCCUUUGUUUUUCUAAAAAGAUGGUCAAGACCAUGACAGUAAUGAAUCACUUUAUUGUCAAGUGCAUCUGACAUCAUAUUUAUGCUGAGAAAGGGAACAUUCUAGCAGCUUGGAUGGAAACCUCCGGCGAGGUUGAUGUUGGUCUUGGGGUUUGGAGUGUGUCCUCCACCUUCGGCUCUGCAGGGCGAGGGGCACCCACAUCUGCCGUGCUGCUUCUGGAUUGGCCAUUUUCACUUUGAACGAUCCACAGCCUGCCUGUGUCUGCCUGCCCUGACCCCAAGAACUCUGGCGAGCCUAGAUUCACCCUCGUUAGACACAGCCUGGUCUCAGGAGCUGCCUCUCUCCCUGGGAGGCCUCCUUGCCUCUUCUGUGGUUGCACAGUUCCCAGAGCCCAAGUACACAGCUGGCUUCCUGCAGGAGAUCCGAUACAAUCCCCCAGGUUAGUGGGUGACACGAAGGGGAAAUCCCUAAAUUUCCUCUGGUCAAGCAGCGCCCUUGCUCUGGCCACACAUCUCCUCUGCAUUCCUUUUUCCGGCUCCCUUGUUACCCUGACUGGACUUUAUUCCUUCCCUUCCAUUGACUCAACCUGGUCUAGUCUAGUCCAAGCCGCCAGCACCGCACCCCAGCCCAGGGUGGGUGACAAGCUCCGUUAAUUGCUGUAGCAACUUGUUAUAAAUUCUACAUGUACUA